CUGAGCAACCAAUAAGAGGCAUUUGAAGAUAACCAAAAGAACUGUGGAGAUUUAUAUGUUUGCAUUUGCUUCUGCAUUGUUGUUGUUUUAGCUUUGCCAGCUAAAAAUAAAUACAGAACGUUCAUUGUAUUUGAGAAACCCAGUCGAGAGUUGGUUGGUUUUUUAUUUGACUCAGAGGGGAAGCAAUAAACAAAUGAAAUUGCUUCAAACAUGACUGCUUUAGAAAUGCAAUUUAUAGCUUUAAAGUUUAGAAGUUUGUUUUAGGUUACUGAAGUUCAAUAUAGAAUCACUUUUAUAGGUUGGGAAAAAAGAAUUCAAGGGAGAGAAAUCAAGAGAAACUUAAAAUGAAUUGUGUGUGUUGAAACUCUGAACCAAUGAAGGAGGGACUAGUGGAAAAUUUUCUAAAGUGCUACUUAUUUUUUCUGGUGCUGGGACUUACAUAAAGAGAUUCUUUUUGCCCAGGUUGAAGUCUGGGAUCAGCAAGGUUGCUUUGGAAGAGGAUGACGAUGAAGGAAGAAACUCGAAACUAAAAAGGGUAAAGUAGAGAUGCCAAUAUCUGGGACUGGGAAUCAUCCAAAAGUUUGUCAGCAGUAUCUGGGGGAUAAAAGAAAGGGAAUGUGAGGGCGAGAACCGAGGAACAAAACAAAUACAGGAAACCAACCUUUCCUUCUUAUGCUCCAACUGUGCUCUCUUGCUACCCACAGAAGUGCAGUGAGAGGGGAUAUCGAAUUGCAUGUGAAUCGUCAUCCACUUGUCAGGGAACUUGAACAAUACCUAGGAAGAAACGACCUCCACAUGCUGCUAAACGUAGACACAAGCGACAAAUCAAUCUGAAUUUCUCGAUGAGAAUUACCAGCUUCGGCGUGUAUUCUUUCCGGAUGUGAAAACUGUUACGGAUCCGGUGAUUGUGAAGGAAGCAGCAAAUGAAGGCCACUACUACCAUCCGGCGAAAAUUUGGUUGGAUAAUGAAGGAAAUCCUAUCCAAGCCCAUGGAGGUGGUAUGCUAUAUGAUGAAAGAUCCGGUACAUACUAUUGGAAGGGAGAAUACACAGAUGCAACUCACCUACGAUGCACAUAAGAAAGGUGCAAUACAAGUAAAUUUACUAUUUUGAAUACAUAAUCCAAUUUUAUUAUCUUGUUUUUCUCAGUAAAGAAUAUAUUGCUUGCAUUCAUAGAACAAAGAGAAACAAGAUUUAAUAUUUGUUUUUGUUUUUUUUAGGAUUUUAGUGAUUAGUAUUGGGGAAAGGAUGAGACAGAUUUCGUAGAAGAAAAUUCUGAAAAAGGGAGAGAAUUACAUAAAUGAUUUAUAGUUUCACUAAAACAGGCUGAUGAUGUAAGGAUCAAAAUUACUCUUUUUUUUAAGCGUAACCAAAAUCGAACAGAUCGAAAACAUAAGAGACCACCAGUAUAGUUUACCCUUUAUGUUUUGUAAAUAUGUUCAUAGAGAAGGGAAGAAUACAUCUCAUGUCACUCAAUUAUUAUUUUAUUUAUAAAUCGGUCACGUUUUU